UGGGGGAUAGUUUAAUGGUAGAACAACGGACUCUGACUCCGUUAGUCUAGGUUCGAAUCCUAGUCCCCCAGCCA
rnacentral:tRNA from 1 species